UUAAUCAAAAUCUAAUAAUUUAUUUAUUUCGAAAUGGAGGGAAUAAUAAAAACUCUUUUAACAUUAACAUAUGGUGUACUAAUUCCAUGUCCACACGAAUAUAUAUGCUCUAUUUUCCAGUACAAACAACAUUCCAUACCCUUUCUAAUCAAUCUUUCACUUUACCUUUAUUAACGAAAAUUUCAAUUCUCUAUGUUUGUUAUUCCUUCUUCACCCCUCCCGGCCGGCCCGCCAUUGAAAGUUAUCAUCACGAAUAUAUAUAUAUAUAUAUAUAUAUAUAUAUACACUUUGCAAGUGACAAUAAAGAACCAAGAGUAAAUAUGCUGGCUGAUAGAUAACAAAGCAUCCGAAGCUUGUUUAUUUAUCCUUUGCUAAAUUCAUUGGUCCAGUUAGCGCCUCUUUCCAGAUGCACACUUCUUUUUCAGAUUUGACUCAGAUUGAGGACCAUGAUGAGUGAACACUACCGGAUCACUACUUCAACAGGAACAAACUAUUGCAAUGACAGCAGAAAUAAUUGAAGAUUCUUCUUUGAUAACAUGAGAACAAAAAUGACGUACUUAUUUAAUCCAAUCAUUCUUGGAUGUUGAUUCCUCCUGUUUCUCCAGAAUACACAAACUAAGGUACUAUCUUAUUUGUAAGUCUCUUUGAAGCCUAAUCUAACAUGGUUGCCUUUUGCUCUUCCAUAUAUUCCUAGUGGUCAAGUUUUGGUGGCCCUAAGAUGUGAUAGCAACUUUUGCUGAUGAGUAUUGCUUACUGGAAUCUAGCAUAACACGCUAACAAGCCGUACUCCAAGCAUCCAUGACAAAUUCCACCGGAAUCAUUUGAGUUAUAGAUAAGAUGAACCAAAAAGAAUCCAGUUAGCAGUAAAGAGAGUUCUAAUUUAAGACAUAUAUACUGAAAGAACAUAUCUUUAAUUCUUGCAUUUCAUGAGUAGAACCUUUUCUCCUUAGUUACCAUAGUUCCAUUGUACAUUACAUUUGCAUCAUAUAUUCAUAUUUGCUAAUUGUAGUUAGAUAUAUAUGAUGUACUUAAUACCUCCUCCAUACUAUUUUGUCUCAUUUCGUUUUGACAUAUAACUCUAUCUUAAGCUAAAAUUAAAUUGAAAUUUUAUUAUAUUUAAAUGACAAUGGAUUAAACCUAAGGUUGAUCCUUUGAAAAAUUUGCACCCUUUAGAACAGAAAAUACCUCUUUCAUAUACUCCUUAGGAUAUUGAUAAAAUAUUGAUAAGUGUAAGGAAGAGAUUUCUGUUGCACAAAAGUUGAGGAAUUUUAGAAUAUUUUUUUUCAAAAAUUAAUCUUUACACUUCUUUCUUCACCAGAAUUCACCUAAUUAUAUUCAUCUGAAACUGGCACAACUACUUCUACUGCUGAUUAUCCCAAUUAAGCUUUCAAUUGGAAGAUUAUUGUUCCUCUUUGCCAUUCACUCACUUUUACUGAUAUUUCAUCACUUAUUUCAAAGAAGAGACUUGUCUUGAGCAAUCCCUUUUACCCACUACUUAAUUUUUUAUUUUAUUUUAUAACUGUGGUGUCUGGAUCAGCUUGCGCGCAUCUCGACUAAAUUCACGGGAUACUGCCGCCUCCCACCAGUCUGUCUACCAAGGCUAGAACAGAUGAGAAGAAAUCACCUAGUGUUUGUCUCUGUUGGGAAUUGAACAUGAGACCUCAUGGUGUUCAUCCCACUACAUUGAACCACUAGGUCACACCCUUGGGUGCUACCCUCUACUUAAUAUGUGGAGCAUAUCUGCAGAUUAAUUUUUCUUUGAUUAAACCAUUUAAGUUUGAAGGCGUAGCCUCUCAUGUGAAUGUAGGAAAAUCCUUUGAGAAACAAAUUUAUUUGAUCUUUUAACCUUGCAGCAUUGAGCUUUUUUCAUGUCCUAUAUGGCCAUUUGUUCCAAGAAUUACGUACCCGCUUUAAUUAUUUCAAGCAUAAGAAAGUAGGAUAAAAUAGCACUCAAGGGUAUGGCCUAUUGGUCAGUGAAGUGGGUUGAACACCAUGGGUCUCACUAAAUGAUUUCUUCCGAUUUGUCCCAUCCUUUGUGGACAGAGUUAUCUGAUACCUCUUGCGAGAAGAACUGAAGAAGUAGGUGAGAAGAAUAUAAUGUACAAUGGACUAUCAGAUCAUUGGAAGCUGAUUAUUUGUUAAGCUUCAAUUACCUGAGCUAAUAUAUAGAUGUGAAUGUAGGAUUUAACUUAUAUGAGUUCAACAUUUAAGAUUCAUUACGAUUUCUGCGAAAGAAGAACUGAAAAUGUAGAUCACAAGAAUAUACAAUGGACUAUCAGAUCAUUAAUAUGAA